AUACGAAGGGUGCAAGCGUUACUCGGAAUUACUGGGCGUAAAGCGUGCGUAGGCGGUUCGUUAAGUCCGAUGUGAAAGCCCUGGGCUCAACCUGGGAACUGCAUUGGAAACUGGCGGGCUGGAGUGCGGUAGAGGGUGGCGGAAUUCCCGGUGUAGCAGUGAAAUGCGUAGAUAUCGGGAGGAACACCCGUGGCGAAGGCGGCCACCUGGACCAGCACUGACGCUGAGGCACGAAAGCGUGGGGAGC
rnacentral:rRNA from 1 species